rnacentral:rRNA from 1 species
UACGGAGGGUGCUAGCGUUGUUCGGAAUCACUGGGCGUAAAGCGCGUGUAGGCGGCCCACUAAGUCUGAUGUGAAAGCCCGGGGCUCACCCCCGGAAGUGCAUUGGAAACUGGUGGACUCGAGUCCCGGAGAGGAGAGUGGAAUUCCUGGUGUAGCGGUAAAAUGCGUAGAUAUCAGGAGGAACACCGGUGGCGAAGGCGGCUCUCUGGACGGUGACUGACGCUGAGACGCGAAAGCGUGGGGAGCAAACAGG